GGGGAGGAGAGAAGGAGGAAGCUGAAGUGCCACCUAUUCAUGUUCCGCGAUGUAACACCCCUUAUUUUCCAUGCUGGGUAAAGACAAAAACCCUUUACAACCUGUUUCUGGAACUUGUCAGCAGCUGCCAAGAGGAGCAUGUUAAUUAAACGUCGGCAAAGAUGGAAGCCGGAGGCCCCGGCUCUAAUUGGACAGUUUGCUUCACCGGAUUGAAAAACAUUGUGACAAAGGAGGAGGUUAUCGCCGAGCUUCCGUGUCCUCAUCCACAACAUGUGGGAAACGAAGUCUACCUUGGAUUCAGUCACGAGUGUUAAAGGGAUAGUUGGCAUAUGACAGCUGGAUGACAAAUGUCAACAGCGCUGAUGGACAUCACACUGAAGCUGCACUUCUGAUUGUGCACAGCAUCAGGAUUACACGAGGAGAUGGCUCAGCACUUAAGAAGGCUUACUGCUUUUUCAGAGGAUGGGAGUUUAGUUCCCAGAACCAUGUCAGGCAGCUCACAGCUGCCUGUAGCUCCAGCUACAUAGCAUCCAAUACCCACCUCUGACCACUGAAGGCACUGUACUCUUGUGUGCAUACCACCCCCCCCCAUAUACAAAUGCACACAGUUAAAAACAAAAUAAAUCUUUAAAAAAAACUA
rnacentral:lncRNA from 1 species